UGGUGGGUAGUUUGACUGGGGCGGUCUCCUCCUAAAGAGUAACGGAGGAGCACGAAGGUUGGCUAAUCCUGGUCGGACAUCAGGAGGUUAGUGCAAUGGCAUAAGCCAGCUUGACUGCGAGCGUGACGGCGCGAGCAGGUGCGAAAGCAGGUCAUAGUGAUCCGGUGGUUCUGAAUGGAAGGGCCAUCGCUCAACGGAUAAAAGGUACUCCGGGGAUAACAGGCUGAUACCGCCCAAGAGUUCAUAUCGACGGCGGUGUUUGGCACCUCGAUGUCGGCUCAUCACAUCCUGGGGCUGAAGUAGGUCCCAAGGGUAUGGCUGUUCGCCAUUUAAAGUGGUACGCGAGCUGGGUUUAGAACGUCGUGAGACAGUUCGGUCCCUAUCUGCCGUGGGCGCUGGAGAACUGAGGGGGGCUGCUCCUAGUACGAGAGGACCGGAGUGGACGCAUCACUGGUGUUCGGGUUGUCAUGCCAAUGGCACUGCCCGGUAGCUAAAUGCGGAAGAGAUAAGUGCUGAAAGCAUCUAAGCACGAAACUUGCCCCGAGAUGAGUUCUCCCUGACUCCUUGAGAGUCCUGAAGGAACGUUGAAGACGACGACGUUGAUAGGCCGGGUGUGUAAGCGCAGCGAU
rnacentral:rRNA from 1 species